rnacentral:rRNA from 1 species
GAUGAACGCUGGCGGCGUGCCUAAUACAUGCAAGUCGAGCGAACAGACGAGGAGCUUGCUCCUCUGACGUUAGCGGCGGACGGGUGAGUAACACGUGGAUAACCUACCUAUAAGACUGGGAUAACUUCGGGAAACCGGAGCUAAUACCGGAUAAUAUAUUGAACCGCAUGGUUCAAUAGUGAAAGACGGUUUUGCUGUCACUUAUAGAUGGAUCCGCGCCGCAUUAGCUAGUUGGUAAGGUAACGGCUUACCAAGGCAACGAUGCGUAGCCGACCUGAGAGGGUGAUCGGCCACACUGGAACUGAGACACGGUCCAGACUCCUACGGGAGGCAGCAGUAGGGAAGCUUCCGCAAUGGUCGAGAGCUUGACGGAGGAACAGCGCGGAAGUAAUGAAAGUCUGCGGGUUGUAUACAGCUGUUAUUAGAGAAGAACAAAUGUGGAAUUAGCUGUUGACAUCUUGACGUUACCAAGUCAGAAUGCCACGCCUGACUUUAGU